AAGCCAGACUCCUACGGGAGGCAGCAGUGGGGGAUAUUGCACAAUGGGGGAAACCCUGAUGCAGCGACGCCGCGUGGGUGAAGAAGCGCCUCGGCGCGUAAAGCCCUGUCAGCAGGGAAGAAAAUGACGGUACCUGAAGAAGAAGCCCCGGCUAACUACGUGCCAGCAGCCGCGGUAAUACGUAGGGGGCAAGCGUUAUCCGGAUUUACUGGGUGUAAAGGGGGCGCAGACGGCGAUGCAAGCCAGGAGUGAAAGCCCGGGGCCCAACCCCGGGACUGCUCUUGGAACUGCGUGGCUAGAGUGCAGGAGGGGCAGGCGGAAUUCCUGGUGUAGCGGUGAAAUGCGUAGAUAUCAGGAGGAACACCGGUGGCGAAGGCGGCCUGCUGGACUGCAACUGACGUUGAGGCCCGAAAGCGUGGGGAGCAAACAGGAUUAGAUACCCCGGUA
rnacentral:rRNA from 1 species